rnacentral:rRNA from 1 species
UACGUAGGCAGCGAGCGUUGUUCGGAGUUACUGGGCGUAAAGAGUGCGUAGGCGGUUUUCUAAGUUUGGUGUGAAAUCUCCCGGCUUAACUGGGAGGGUGCGCCGAAGACUGGAAGGCUAGAGUAUGGGAGAGGUAAGCGGAAUUCCGGGUGUAGCGGCGAAAUGCGUAGAUAUCCGGAGGAACACCGGUGGCGAAGGCGGCGACCUGGUCCUUGACUGACGCUGAGGCGCGAAAGCGUGGGGAGCAAACAGG